AUUGAACGCUGGCGGCGUGCCUAACACAUGCAAGUCGAGCGGUAACAGGUGUAGCAAUACAUGCUGACGAGCGGCGGACGGGUGAGUAACGCUUGGGAAUCUGCCUGUUAGUGGGGGACAACCCGGGGAAACUCGGGCUAAUACCGCAUACGCACUACGGUGGAAAGCCGGGGACCGCAAGGCCUGGCGCUAACAGAUGGACGACC
rnacentral:rRNA from 1 species